UUCAUUGCGUUGUUGUUGACUGAAUUCUGUCUUUUAUUCUUGUCUAGAAACAGAACAAUAGAAGCAGAUGGUUGAAACUGGAACCACUUUUAUGCCACAUUCAAACUCUAUGUUAUUAUUGUUAUAAUAUCCUACAGCACUUAGGGCAUUGGGACUGAAAAUAAUUGAAUAUGAAUGUUUAAGGCUCUGCACUGUAUUAGUGAAGAGAAAAUAUGAAUGAUCUUGAAUGCCUCAUGACAACCUACAGCAAAAAAGAUUGGCAUUUAUAUAGCACAAUGCUUUUACAUUCGAUAUAGGUAAUUCUAAAACCCACCACCUGAUAUUUAAAUGUCACUGAACUCAGUCAGAACCAGUAUAAUUAUUCCUCACACUCCUGUUUAUUACCGUUAGUGAUUGCAACCAAUAUGGUAAACCUGCACUGUGAACCAUGUUGUGGAUUUCAAGCAACUCACUGCCAAUCAUGCUAGAAACUGAUUUUGGGUUCUCUAUGCAAUUACGUAAGAUUAUUUCCCCAGAAAUAUGGGGUCCUCAUUGUAUUCAUUUUUUAUGCGAUCAAUCUUGAUGUGCAGUUGCUUCAAUUGAAAUUCUUUGUAUUUUUGUAUGAAUGACCAUGUGGGCUCUGUUUUGUAACCCUGGAGCUGGCAGAAGAAAGUGGAGGCAAGACAAAACAGUGCUCCUAACAAGCAGCUAAAUGGAUCAGUGUCCGUUUCCCCCUGGGAAAGAUAAGUCGCCUUGGGAAAUGAGCACAACUUGCAGCACGUGUCAAUGCAGCUCAACCAGUGUGAGGGAAAUCCAUGGAGGAGAUUAAAUAGGCAGCUUGCAAAGAACCGCAGAGUUUGUUCACAGACAGCCUACAAAAACAAUUCCAGAUCAGUGACCAUAUGUAAUUAACUGUUUUAGCUCUAGUACAGGCUUGAGGUUUGGCAAGAAUAAAGAGAGCAGGAGAGUGUUGUGGUGGAGCGGGAGGAUGGAGAUGGAUGUGGAGGGGAGACAGGACAAAGAAGAGGAGGAGUGGACAGUCAGCCUAAAGAGUCAUAAACAGAACUGAGGACUUCCUCUGGAAUUUCAUGACGGACCGCCAUGAUCCUUCGUGCUCCUCUCCCAGACACUCCUUCAGCUACCUUCCCCGAAGUCCCUGCUCUCCAUUUGCAAAGCUCCUAUCAGAGGUCCCAUUCCAUUCCCAAUGCUACACCAGUGUUUUCCAUGUGCAUAUAUGUACUGUAUAUGGACC